AACAGAUUCUAUUCGACAACUGUAAAAAAACCUUUGAAGCAGUCGGUUUAACUAACAUUGAAUUUGUUUAACACAUAGACCUUCGAUAACAUUUAAUCCACUAGUCCUAUUUCACUAUACACCAAGGUCAUAAAUAAAAAUGAAAAUUUCCUGUAUUUUGAUAUCAUUAAUCUGCG